GUGCACCAGGCGCGAAACCUCCGCAAUGCACGCAAGUGCGACGGGAGAACCCCAAGUGCCACUCUUAACGGGGUGGCUUUUCAGAAGUGUAAAAAGCUUCUGGAAUAAGGGCUGGGCAAGACCGGUGCCAGCCGCCGCGGUAACACCGGCAGCUCAAGUGGUAGCCGCUUUUAUUGGGCCUAAAGCGUCCGUAGCCGGUCUGAUAAGUCUCUGGUGAAACCCCACAGCUUAACUGUGGGAAUUGCUGGAGAUACUAUCAUGACUCGAGGUCGGGAGAGGCUGGAGGUACUCCCAGGGUAGGGGUGAAAUCCUGUAAUCCUGGGAGGACCACCUGUGGCGAAGGCGUCCAGCUGGAACGAACCUGACGGUGAGGGACGAAAGCCAGGGGCGCGAACCGGAUUAGAUACCCCCGUAGUCC
rnacentral:rRNA from 1 species